CCUACGGGGUGCAGCAGUGGGGAAUAUUGGACAAUGGGCGAAAGCCUGAUCCAGCCAUGCCGCGUGUGUGAAGAAGGCCUUCGGGUUGUAAAGCACUUUCAGUGGGGAAGAAAGCCUUGGGGCUAAUACCCUCGAGGAAGGACAUCACCCACAGAAGAAGCACCGGCUAACUCCGUGCCAGCAGCCGCGGUAAUACGGAGGGUGCGAGCGUUAAUCGGAAUUACUGGGCGUAAAGCGCGCGUAGGCGGUCUGAUAAGCCGGUUGUGAAAGCCCCGGGCUCAACCUGGGAACGGCAUCCGGAACUGGCAGGCUAGAGUGCAGGAGAGGAAGGUAGAAUUCCCGGUGUAGCGGUGAAAUGCGUAGAGAUCGGGAGGAAUACCAGUGGCGAAGGCGGCCUUCUGGACUGACACUGACGCUGAGGUGCGAAAGCGUGGGUAGCAAACAGGAUUAGAUACCCGUGUAGUC
rnacentral:rRNA from 1 species